CCCUAUGGGGCGCAGCGUAUACUGGCGUCUUCUGACGCUGAUAAGACCUUUCUUUAUAAGAGAUGCCACCAUUCUGGAGACGGUCUCUCUCGAACAGCCACAACUGUUGGCUAUCUCAAUCUGCGUUGGACCUUUCUCCAGGAUCACAUAGUCUUUGACCCGUAUCCCCGACCUGGAUCCUAUUUCCGAAAGAUACUUGAGAAUCCUGCCUUCGACGUUCAGGAAGGCAAGCCAUCGUAUCCGUUCAUCGGCCACCCGCAGCCGCUGCGAAAGAACCUUCAGGAUUUCGAUGGUUAUCGUGGGAUGGUCGAGGAGAACUUUCAUAAAGUCCUGCCUUUUUACCACAAGGAGUUCACUGCUUUCCAUAGCAACGGAAUUGGCGGGAGGGC
rnacentral:rRNA from 1 species